rnacentral:tRNA from 1 species
GCCCCGGUGGCCCAGUGGUAGGGCGGCAGCCUCGUAAGCUGCAACGCGCGGGUUCGAAGCAAACGAUUGCGAAAAUCCCGUCCGGGGCU